GCUAAAGUGCAGUGGCGCAAUCUCAGCUCACUGCAAGCUCCGCCUCCCAAGUUCAUGCCAUUCUCCUGCCUCAGCCUCCAGAGUAGCUGGGACUACAGGUGCCCGCCACUAUACCCGGCUAAUUUUUUGUAUUUUUGGUAGAGACUGGGUUUCACCGUGUUAACCAGGAUGGUCUCGAUCUCCUGACCUCGUGAUCCGCCCGCCUCGGCCUCCCAAAGUGCUGGGAUUACAGACGUGAGCCACCGUGCCCUGCCCAGGGCCCUACUUUGUGACACCAAGGUCUGCAGAGCCCAGGGCAUCCUGGCCAAGGCAGUGGUGAGAUGUCAACCAGGCACAGUGGUAUGGCCUGAGGUCAGAGACGGAAGGGAGAGAAGGAAAGAGACCUGAAGUGCAGACCCAAUGCCUACUGAUGGAUGGGAGAGGAGAGAAUAGAAUGGGCAGAACAGAACAGCUUCAGAUAUGGGACUGAGCAAGACAUGGGGGAGUGGAGCAGAUGGCAACAGGGCCACAGCUGGUGAAGGGGAAGCCAGGAAGAGAUCCCCGCUUUCUACUGCCCAACUCCAGCACCUGGGAACCCUUACAAUUGACUGGUAGCCGCCAGAUGGUGCCCCAGGGCCUGGACAUUCUGCUCAUCCUGCUGUCCCACCCCAAAGCACAGCCCCCAGGCAAGGGAACUUCAAGUCAGUGAACUGUGCGGGCUCCAGACUGGCAGAGCCCCUUCCACAAGGGCAGCAGCCUCACCCUGGGCAGGGUCUUCUUCACCCUUGUUUUGUCUCAUACUGGCCGCCUCCAGCACGGGCACAAAGAGGGCUCCCAUCUGACACGCUGGCAUUCCCAGAGGCUGUCACAGGUUAAUGCCCCCAACACAGGUAGAGAUCGCACACAUCCCUCCUCUUCCCAUCCUCCCCAGGGUGAAAAACAACAGCAACAUCAAACAACUGAACAGAUAUUUUGGCUUGGAGAGUAAAGUUCAGAACUGCCCCGCCCCUCCCUUCCGGGUGACAGGUCACUCCAGCAGCGCUGUGGGUAGGAGGGAAGGAGCUAUUUACAAUCCUGGCUGGGGUCUAAGCCUCGCUGCCACGUGGGUUUGCCACUCGGGGCCUGCAAGUCUGCCGAUAUCCACCAGGUGGCGCAGCACCUGGGCUGGGACCCGCCAGAGCUGUGAGGGGAGCUUGGGAAAGGUUUGUGGUCGGUGGAAGGGCUGAGAGCUGGUGUUGGUCCUUGAGGGGACUCAAGUAGCCGCGCCGUAGGACCCUCUGUUCUCAGGCCUGGGGCAGGGUGGGCUAAGAGCCAGCCCACUCUCUGUCCAUUUCUCGUAUCCCCACUCUCUUCUUUUCCUUCCCUAGUUGUAGAUGCCAUGGGGUUGGGAGUGGACUUGGGCUCAGUCCACAGCCGUUCAGCCCAGACCUACUGGGCACCAAAUCUCACCAUUCUCCCUCAACCUCCACGUUCUGUCCAGCUGGCAAACCAGGGAUACAGACUGGGCUGGAGGUACGUGGAAGGGGGACAGAGGCGUGGACUGGAGGUGGUAGUGACGGGGCUGGGGGGCCAUGGAUUGGAAUGAAGGACACCAGCUGGGACCAGAAGACAAGAACUGGGAUGAGGGGG
ensembl:lncRNA